rnacentral:tRNA from 1 species
GCCUGCGUGAUGGAAUGGUAGACAUGACGGAUUCAAAAUCCGUUGGCGCAAGUCGUGGCGGUUCAAGUCCGCCCGCAGGUACCA